CCCUUAGAUGUUCUGGGCCGCACGCGCGCUACACUGACGAUGGCAACGAGUUUUUCCUUCGCCGAAAGGUGUGGGUAAUCUUUUGAAACAUCGUCAUGCUGGGGAUAGAUCAUUGCAAUUUUUGAUCUUGAACGAGGAAUUCCUAGUAAGCGCGAGUCAUCAGCUCGCGUUGAUUACGUCCCUGCCCUUUGUACACACCGCCCGUCGCUACUACCGAUUGAAUGGUUUAGUGAGGACUCCUGAUUGGCGCCGCCGCCCCGGCAACGGAGCAGCGGACUGCCGAAAAGUUGUUCAAACUUGAUCAUUUAGAGGAAGUAAAAGUCGUAACA
rnacentral:rRNA from 1 species